GAAUUGAUCAUCUUUUACAGGAGUACAGAGAUGCUCUCUAAAAAAGCAACCUGAUAGCAAGUUUUUUUAAUUAUUUGAGUGGAGAGAAGGGGGAAAGAUGAGAACCCAGACAAGGGGAAAGCUUGUCACAGCCUGCUCUAGGAGAAUUUGGGGCAACAAGGAGAAACAGGGGCAGGUUCAUGACUGGCUGGAUUCCUCCACUGCUCCAGUUAAUUCAGAGAAGCACUCAAACUAACAGCCUUUGGGAAAAAGGUGGGACCCAAUGUGAUAUCAUGGAAGACCAGUGGAGACCUAAUGGGAAUCCAGCCUGCAGACUGGCAUUUUUCAGAGUUGCCUGAGUUCACUAGGUUUGGAAAGACUCUUGACCAACACGUGUUGGCCACGGCCUCUGGAUGAGGAAAUCUCGGAGGAAAAUACUGAGAUGAACCUGAGCCUCUCUGGUGAAUUCUUCGUUUCAAUGGUGGAAUAAGUGGCCACAGAUCCAAAUGAGAAAUACAUUACCUAAGUUUAUUAGGAACUUAAUCAUCCAGUAAGAGACCAAGAACCUUGGAUGAACUUCUCAGUGACUCCAGCUCUAGCAUUCAGCAGAGGAAUUAAAAACAUAACAGGCUAAUGAAACACUGUUAGAAUCACCCACCCAUCAGUUAAGUAAAAUGCUCCUUCUUAAAGUUAUUCAAAACAAAAACAAACACAAAAGACUAAAAAAGAAAUUUAUCCUGAUUGGAAAGAUUAUGGUCUGUCUGAUCAUGAACAUAAACUCUAAGGUCUGCCUAGAGUCAAUACUGGCAAUAAGAUUCUUAGCUUUUAAAGAAGAUGAAUUCAGUAGUUGGAAUAAAACACAUGAAUUAUAAAUUUCUAUUAUGGAACAUCUGAGUAUGAUGUCCUGUGAGAGUUAAGAAAAAGAGAAAAACUUUGUCUCAGCCAAGAAAAGAAGCUGGAACUAUAACCAUUUACAUUCUGUGAAAGAAAAUCAUAAAGAUGCUGUUCAUAGUUAUUGAUUUUUGAAAGAGGAUAAGACAUAAAUUAUAUAUAUAUACAUAUACAUGCACUACGUACAUCCCUACCAACGGUGUGUUAUAGAGAUAUUUCAGCUAUCUCCAUAUGACGUCCAGCAUGACAAUAGAAUGACAUUGAGGAACCUGUCUAUCACAUGCUAUAUACACUCUGCCUGGGGAGAACAAACUCUGGACUCAGGACCUAUCUGUGAUCCUUAAUGUUAAAUUUCUUUCAAAACCGUCUACUAUUCAGGAUACUGGAACAUAUUUGUAGAGUUCCUCUCACAUCAUUUAUCAAAGAGCUUUUCAACAUCUCAGCUCCAGAAAGGUAAUCCCAACCCAUGAGAACUCAAAAGAACAGUGCAAAGUAAACAAACCCUGACCAGACGGACAGAAGGUAUGCAUGAGAGGAAGAGUAGCUUUCUCACUAAAUUCCUUGUCAUUUUAUGCCAUCUAUGAUAGAUUAGCAGUGUCUGGCUGA
ensembl:lncRNA